UACGUAGGGGGCAAGCGUUGUCCGGAUUUAUUGGGCGUAAAGAGCGUGUAGGCGGCUUUACAGGUCCGUUGUGAAAACUCGAGGCUCAACCUCGAGACGCCGGUGGAAACCGUAAGGCUAGAGUCCGGAAGAGGAGAGUGGAAUUCCUGGUGUAGCGGUGAAAUGCGCAGAUAUCAGGAGGAACACCCGUGGCGAAAGCGGCUCU
rnacentral:rRNA from 1 species